UAAAUUUUGAUCAGUUUUUACAGACUUAAAACAAAAAAAUGCAGCCAUCUACAAAUUAAGCAAUAAUAAAACAUGAAAGGUUGAUAUUUGGUUAUAUUCAAACAAUUAAAAAAUUGGUGGGCAAAUGUUAUGUGUAAAAGAAAUUCAAAGGUGAAUAUCCAUUUUUCCUGCAUUUUGAAGCAUUUUUUGCUUCCAAAUUACUUCCCUUGGAUUACUCUCUAGCGUUUGGAGGUACAAUAUGUAGGCACUUGUAGUGGUAAAUAAAUAGUUUGGUGAGAAAACUUAUCAAAGCGGGUCCGGGGAAAGGAUUGGCAGUGUGGAAGAAGGAAAAAAGGCCAAGAUAUAAUACAUAAGAAGACAAGAGGAUUCACCAAAGAGGAUGAAAAGGAAAAGGAACAAGAACAUAUACACAUGUAAAUCAUGGCUAUAACAGAAUUCAAAUGAAACCUUGAAGUUAAUUUUGGAAAAGACAAUUUCAGGAAUUGGGACAGCUUAUAGAUGCAUUUCUCUUCAAGGUAGAAAAAAGUCAUCUUAAAUAUAUAAGUGGAGAUGCAAUAUCAUGAAGUUCAAAGUAAAGUGCAAAGCUGAAUAUCAUAAAAUCUCCAAACAAUGGUGAAGCCUUAAAAGUUGGAGAUAUGGCAUUAAACUUUUUCCUUAGAAAGUACCUUGAUGUCUGUUACUAGUAAUUUAGUUUCCCAUAUGAGGAGCAAUGUAGCUGGCUUGUCAGAGUGAUUUUCCUGAAGAUGAAAUUGGAAAUGAGAAUAUUCAUGUGUGUCUCCAUACUGGAAAUCCUCAAGAUUCAACCAAUUUCUAAGUGACUCAG